GGCCUAUAUUGCCAGAGGCCCAUUCAAAGUCAUUUUCUGGCUCUAACCAAACCCUGUAAUGUAUUCUACCUUGCUUUUCCUCCAGAAACAGUUCUUUUGUAGGGAAAACUGUAGAAAGAGGGAAGUAUAUAUAGGAUUAAGAAGUUGCCAUCAGAAAACUUAAAGGCAAACUUAGCCUUUCAUAUUGGCUAACAGGAAACAUGUCAGAAUGUUCUGAAGUGGAGUAAAUAGUUUUUCCUACCUUUUUUUUUUUUUUAAUAGAGUAUUAUCAGGGUGCCAAAUCCUUCUGUUAUGCCUAUCC
rnacentral:lncRNA from 1 species